rnacentral:rRNA from 1 species
UACAGAGGGGCAAGCGUUGUUCGGAAUUACUGGGCGUAAAGGGCUCGUAGGUGGCCAACUAAGUCAGACGUGAAAUCCCUCGGCUUAACCGGGGAACUGCGUCUGAUACUGGAUGGCUUGAGUUCGGGAGAGGGAUGCGGAAUUCCAGGUGUAGCGGUGAAAUGCGUAGAUAUCUGGAGGAACACCGGUGGCGAAGGCGGCAUCCUGGACCAAUAUUGACGCUGAGGAGCGAAAGCCAGGGGAGCAAAGCGGG